AAAAAGACAAACCCUAAAUUUUCGUAUCCAAUGUUUAACUGUCCGUCUUAUAUAAAUUUUUUUUAAUUAGUAUUUUCAUUGUAGUUAGAUGAUAAAACAUGAUUAAUACUUUAUGCGUGACUUAUCUUUUUAAUUUUUUUAUAAUUUUUUUAAAUAAGACGUGCGGUCAAACAUUGGACACGAAAAUCCAAGAUUUGUCUUUUU
rfam:Oryza sativa Japonica Group DNA, chromosome 12, cultivar: Nipponbare, complete sequence.